rnacentral:rRNA from 1 species
GUGGGGAAUAUUGCACAAUGGGGGGAACCCUGAUGCAGCGAUGCCGCGUGAAGGAAGAAGAUUUUCGGAUCGUAAACUUCUAUCAGCAAGGAAGAAGAAGGACAGUACUUGACUAAGCAGCCCCGGCUAACUACGUGCCAGCAGCCGCGGUAAUACGUAGGGGGCAAGCGUUAUCCGGAAUUACUGGGUGUAAAGGGUGCGUAGGCGGCACGCCAAGUCAGUUGUGAAACCCGUAGGCUCAACCUACGGCUUGCAAUUGAAACUGGCGAGCUAGAGUACAGGAGAGGAAAGCGGAAUUCCUAGUGUAGCGGUGAAAUGCGUAGAUAUUAGGAAGAACACCGGUGGCGAAGGCGGCUUUCUGGACUGAAACUGACGCUGAGGCACGAAAGCGUGGGGAGCAAACAGG